UACGUAGGGUCCGAGCGUUGUCCGGAAUUACUGGGCGUAAAGAGCUCGUAGGUGGUUUGUCGCGUUGUUCGUGAAAACUCACAGCUCAACUGUGGGCGUGCGGGCGAUACGGGCAGACUGGAGUACUGCAGGGGGGACUGGAAUUCCUGGUGUAGCGGUGGAAUGCGCAGAUAUCAGGAGGAACACCGGUGGCGAAGGCGGGUCUCUGGGCAGUGAACUGACGCUGGAGGAGCGAAAGCGUGGGGAGCGAACAGGA
rnacentral:rRNA from 1 species